AGCGAACGCUGGCGGCGUGCCUAACACAUGCAAGUCGAACGUGAAAGGGAGCAAUCCCAAGUAAAGUGGCGUACGGGUGAGUAACACGUAGGUAAUCUACCCCAGAAUCUGGAAUAACCGGCCGAAAGGCUGGCUAAUACUGGAUAGAGCGACGGAAUCCGUAAUUGGGUUUUUCGGGAAAGGGAGCCUGUAAAAAGGCCUUCGUUCUGGGAUGAGCCUGCGUCCCAUCAGCUAGUUGGUGAGGUAAAAGCUUACCAAGGCAAUGACGGGUAGCUGGUCUGAGAGGACGAUCAGCCAAACUGGAACUGAAACACGGUCCAGACUCCUACGGGAGGCAGCAGUGGGGAAUCUUGCGCAAUGGACGAAAGUCUGACGCAGCAACGCCGCGUGAGUGAAGAAGGCCCUCGGGUUGUAAAGCUCUGUCGAGUGGGACGAAAAUGCUUGGAGUUCACAGCUCCAGGAACUGACGGUACCACUAAAGGAAGCACCGGCUAACUCCGUG
rnacentral:rRNA from 1 species